AUGAUAAGCACCUUUUCUCGCUUAGAAAUUGGAAAGUAUUCGCGAUUUCCAGUAAACACAGUGGUCGAUCAUGCAAAUACAUAAAAAAAUGUUGGAAAUAAUGAUUUUUGCGAUUUUUUACUAUUUUAUUGCGUCGUAUAUAAACAACUUAUUUUUCAUGAUAAGUACCUUCCCUCGUUAAAAAAUUGAAAAGUACUGGUGAUUUUCGACAAAAAAAGGGGUUGAUCAUGAAAAUGCGUGGAAAAAUAGUGGAACUAUCGAUUUCUAUCGAUUUCUACAGUCUUAUCGCGUCAGCUGUAUAACGCGUUACAUUCUGACAUGUGCUCCGUGUUUCGCCAAAAAAUUGUAAAGUAUCGGUGAUUACCAGGAAAAAGAUAUAUAAUUGACAGAAUGUAUUGUCGGACUACAUGUGAUUAAUAUAUUCUAGUACAAUUGUUCAAGAAAUUUAGUGAAUUGUGCAUUGUAAAAUUUUAGGUUAUAUUUGCUUAUGGUGACAUAAAACUAAUUCACAGUACACUAACGUAAGAUCCAGAAUAAACGACUGACUGAGUUGAGUAUAUAAUUAGCAACUUAUCCUAAUGGCGCGCAACUGAGCCUCUCUAGGACACGCUUAUUAAUGCAUAGAGCUUUUGGCUAUUUGCUUUGGUGAUGGAUGAGCGAAGAGGGAAAAAGAAAAACAUGAAGGAAUAGAAACAGUGAGUGAGAGAGCAGAAGAUGAUAAAGGAAGGAAUUAUGGUAUGCGAAGAUGAUACAGCGACUUACACACUAAUAGGAAAACUUACUUACUAAAUAACGCAACAACAAAAACAACUAACUUAAAAGAAAAGAAGACUAUAAUACAAUAAUAACGAUUAAACUUGGUAUUGUAACGUCCCGGGAAUUAUUAUCGCGAGUACGCUACUGCACCGACCGCGUAGGGAGAGCGGUUCCCUAUGAGAAGGCGACUCGUAAAUAACAAAAUAAUGAAGGGAUCAUAG